rnacentral:rRNA from 1 species
CCUACGGGAGGCAGCAGUGGGGGAUAUUGCACAAUGGGGGAAACCCUGAUGCAGCGACGCCGCGUGUGGGAAGACGGUCCUCUGGAUUGUAAACCACUGUCCCCAGGGACGAAGAUGACGGUACCUGGGGAGGAAGCUCCGGCUAACUACGUGCCCGCAGCCGCGGUAAUACGUAGGGAGCGCGCGUUGUCCGGAAUUACUGGGUGUAAAGGGAGCGUAGGCGGGACUGCAAGUUGGGUGUCAACUCUAGCGGCUCAAACGUUAGCCGCACUCAAAACUGCAGUUCUUGAGUGAAGUAGAGGCAGGCGGAAUUCCUAGUGUAGCGGUGAAAUGCGUAGAUAUUAGGAGGAACACCAGUGGCGAAGGCGGCCUGCUGGGCUUUUACUGACGCUGAGGCUCGAAAGUGUGGGGAGCAAACAGGAUUAGAUACCCCUGUAGUC